GGGGUCAAAGAUUUCAGUCAUAUUCGGGUAUUUUUAAAUUUUGGUUCGGGUUCGGUUCGGAUCUUUGCAGAUAUUUUUCGGAUUUGGAUAACACAUUUAAAUGAUUUUUAAAAUUUUAAAAUUCAUUAUAUACUUUAAAUUUCUCAAAAUCAAUAAAUAAAAUAAGAUAUUGCAUAUAAAUUUGAAUAACAUAUGUUAAAAUACCUAAAAUUAACAUAUAAAUUGAUUUGGUUUGAAUAUUUUGAUAGAGAAUCAAUAGAUAUUUAUAGUAUUUUUGGUGUUUGGAGUAUAUUUUAUCUAUUUUAAUUUAGAUAUUUAUUUUUGAAUAUUUGUAUAUUUUUCAAGUAUUUUAAACAACUUAAAAAUAUCUUAUAUAUUUUGGAUGUUUUUAAUAUACAUUAAAUCUAAAAAUAAUUAAUAUAUUUAGGUAUAUAAAUCUAUUUCGGAUACAUUCGGGUAAAUCUAAAAAUAAUUAAUAUAUUUAGGUAUAUAAAUCUAU
rnacentral:lncRNA from 1 species